UUUCUCCACCAAGUUAUCUAUCCCAGUAUUUUUUGUGUGCUUUUAAUUUAAUCUUGGAGAUGUUAGAACUGCAGCCUACUUUUUCCAAACUUUGCUGAGACUGGGUUCAGUGGAAGUGACUUCCGAGUAGUUUCUCCUAGACUAGGAAGCAUUUUCCCGAGGAAAUAGGGAGGAAAAUAUACAUUCCUUAAAAUCCCAAGCGAUUGGACUCCAGGGGAGUUUCGAAGGACAGUCGAAACUCGAUAUACUUUUUUCCACAAACCCAACCCUCCCCCCUUUUUUGUGGGGGGAUUGUUCAAUCCAAACAAGCAACAGGCCGGCUGCUUUCCUCCCAUUGAGACCGAAAAGAAGCUCGGUAGCUCCAGACAAGACAACAAGAGCAAACAACAAACACAAGAAAAGCUAAAGAGAACCAGAUGCCUUGGAAGGAGAACUAGAGAGCUUUUCGCCCUGGGAGAGAGGCAAAUGGCAGUUCUGGCUGGGCACAAAACCCCAAAUUCUGUUUAUGAUCCAUCAACAUGGAGAAAGAUGCCACAGCAAGUAGCGCCAAUUUAGAUGGAACCCACCACUGGCUUUCCCAUGACCACGUCUUGCCUACUCUUUAAGCUUUAGUGUGAUAAGGCUGGAAUCCCAUGUCUGAGUUACAACCCCAGUUAGCAAUCGGGCUGCAGCUCUUUGGACCAGCUGAAGUUUCUAAGCACUCUUCAAAGGUAGUCUCAUGUAUAGCAUGUUACAUUAAUCAAAUGUAACUAAAGGAAGUGUCGCCAUGCGCACAUCUGAUAUCUCAAGAAACAGGCACAGCUGGCACACAACCUUUAACUUUGCAAAUGUACUCCCAGGCACCACUGAAACCUGAGCUCCCAGGCUCAAGUUUGAAUCCAGGAGCACCCCUAAGCUGUGGAGUAUAAUCUUUACAGGGAAAAUAAACCCAUUGGUACCAGCUGAAUCCUUAUUCCCUAAUCUGUCUUUUGAUCAACCAGAAACAGCUCUGUCUUGUUUGUAUUAACUUUUUAUUUGUUCACCCUCGUCCAAUUCAUUUCUAGCAACAAACAUCAGUUCAGGAUCAAAAAUUGCUUCCUUGAUUUGUGGUGGAAAAUUGUAAUAGAGUUGUGUCACAUGCAAUCCAGUGCCACCAAAUCCCAAAACCUCCACACAACCUCUCCCAGCAGUUUCACAUAUAUGUUCAAUAGCAUGGAAGCAGAAACAGGCCCUGAAUAACUCCACAGGCCAACAGUCAAGAGCUCAAGCACUAAUUCCUUAAUAUUCCUUUCUGGGUUUGCCUAUUCCCCUGCCUUAUUCCAUAGUUAGCCUAAUCUACA